GUGCCUAAUACAUGCAAGUCGAACGAACUUCCGUUAAUUGAUUAUGACGUACUUGUACUGAUUGAGAUUUUAACACGAAGUGAGUGGCGAACGGGUGAGUAACACGUGGGUAACCUGCCCAGAAGUAGGGGAUAACACCUGGAAACAGAUGCUAAUACCGUAUAACAGAGAAAACCGCAUGGUUUUCUUUUAAAAGAUGGCUCUGCUAUCACUUCUGGAUGGACCCGCGGCGUAUUAGCUAGUUGGUGAGGUAAAGGCUCACCAAGGCAGUGAUACGUAGCCGACCUGAGAGGGUAAUCGGCCACAUUGGGACUGAGACACGGCCCAGACUCCUACGGGAGGCAGCAGUAGGGAAUCUUCCACAAUGGACGCAAGUCUGAUGGAGCAACGCCGCGUGAGUGAAGAAGGGUUUCGGCUCGUAAAGCUCUGUUGUUAAAGAAGAACGUGGGUAAGAGUAACUGUUUACCCAGUGACGGUAUUUAACCAGAAAGCCACGGCUAACUACGUGCCAGCAGCCGCGGUAAUACGUAGGUGGCAAGCGUUAUCCGGAUUUAUUGGGCGUAAAGCGAGCGCAGGCGGUCUUUUAAGUCUAAUGUGAAAGCCUUCGGCUCAACCGAAGAAGUGCAUUGGAAACUGGGAGACUUGAGUGCAGAAGAGGACAGUGGAACUCCAUGUGUAGCGGUGAAAUG
rnacentral:rRNA from 1 species